rnacentral:misc_RNA from 1 species
AAUUUAGUUUCUGUUUACCAAUGGAUGGUCGUCGAUGCCAAGUAUUGUAAACAAUACAGCACAGUCUCCAGCCCUGCAUGGGUUCUGAAUUGUGACACACUUUACAAAUAUCGAUUGAUUGUUUUCGAAAGAUAAGAUUUUUUUGGCCAGGAGUGUGAUUUGAAGUAGUGUCUUUUUCAAAACUACAGUGCUGGGUAUCCAGUCUGAUUUAACCUUGUAUCAGGAACAGACACAGGUAGUUAAACGGAGAAACAAAAAUGGGCAACGAUAACAGCACACAAUCUACAGCAACCCAGCGAGAAAUUCAAGGCUGCCUUCAAGAAGGUUGCAGAUGUUGCUCAAUUUCCAACGUGUGCGAAAUUUCUGGAUGUAUAAAGAAAAGAUCCGACCGAUUCUGGAACAAAUCAGCGGGAAUGAACAAAUCAAACAAUGUAUGAAAGUCCAAAGGUCGGAUAUGUACACAACUGCAAUGUCGCACUACAAGGGAAAGGUCGGCGAAAUCCGCCGGAAAAGUGUCUCCAUUCGUCACGAAUCCUUAAUGAUUAUUUUCGACGAUUCCGGACAGUUUGACUACGAUGGAGGGGGUUACCGGAGGGAAUUCUAUUCCACAUUCUUCCAGAAAGCUAUCAGGGACCGGGGGCUGUUUGUUGGGAACUACCCACGACUGCUUCCCAACUUUACUCAGGACAGGCUAGACGAUCUUACUGCAGUCGGGAUAGGAAUCGUGGAGGCCAUUCUUAAUUUUGAUUGCGGGUUUCCGUACUUACACCCUGGACUGUACCACUUCAUGAUGGAUCAUGACGAUUUUGAACAUUAUCUGAUGGUAGAUGACAUUCCAAAUCCAGCCGUGAAACACCUUGUCAAUCUGCUCUUAGAAUGUGAAACAGAUGACCAAAUAAAUGACGUCAUACAAAGUGAUGAAGGAGUUAUCGUAGAACACAUUGGAUGGCCAACAGGCAAACAGUACAAUAUGAAAAACAGAGAACAGCUUAUCACCUUACUCACAAGAUACAGUAUCAUUGACGAGAGGAGACCGGCCAUUGAUGCCCUGAAGAAGGGCCUCAACUACCUGAAAUUCUUGGAGAAAAUCAAAGACGUGUCCCUGUUGGAGCCUCUUUUUGUUCAUUCCGAAGAGUACUCCAUUAACAAGCAGUAUCUGAAGAAACUGUUACUUCCAGCGCUGGAAGGUCUCAAUGCAGCCAAUGAUAAACUGAAAAAGGCUAAAGAGUACGCACUACGGUCCGUCAAUGAAAUAAAUGACGACGAAGCGAAAACACUCUACCACUUUAUCACAGGCUUAUCAAGCCCCUCUGUGAAGCCAAGAACAACUCCGCGCCUGAAUUCAUCAUGUCCAAUCCCAGACAGAAGCUUCCAGAGGCCAUGACAUGCUUUGAGACACUUAUGAUUCCUGUUGGGAACAAGACUACGAGGAAUUCAAGGAGUCUUUCCAUCACGCCAUCAAAACCUUUGACAAACUUGCUGUCAAUAAACCAUGCUGUUGAUGACGAAGUUAUAAACAAUCUGUGCUGUUAUUUUCAUCGAUCUAUUGUUUAUAGUGUAUAAUUAUCUGCAUUGAUUAAGAAUCUUGUUCAUGCUUCUGAAGACAUUUCAGCAGCCAACUGUAACAAUACAUGUGCCGUGAAAUAUGUAUAUACAUGGAGUAUCAAUAUUUAAAACACCACUGGUGCAGUAAAUGGACAACUCUGCAAUACAUCAACUAUUAGAACCAUUUUAACAAGGCCUUGGACUUUCAGUAGGACGCAACUAUCUAUCUAUUUCUUGCGUCAAAACAAGCUAAACAUGACGCUGGUUUUAAGUGAAAAAAUACACAAAUAGCCAGGCAAAUCUUGUUGAUUUCGAAGAGCAAUCAUUAUGGCUGAGUAACCAACAAUGAAAUAGACAAGCCUACGUCACAUUGCUGUUAGACACCAACUACCCAAAGUCCAAGCACUUGUUAAAAUGGUUCUAAUACUUUUAAUAUUUGUUGAGCCUUUGCUUGCUUGUAUCAGAUCUAGACAUUAUUUCUUUUGAUAAAUGGAAGUACUAAAAUAAUGACACAUUUUUUGCAUUCAGUUGUGAAGGCCAGUGUAGUUUGCUGUUUAUUCUUAAGCUUGUACAAAGAGUGUAUUCACUCAACAUCAUAAAACGUGUAAUUAUCAU